rnacentral:ncRNA from 1 species
GUCGUGAGAUGUUGGGUUAAGUCCCGUAACGAGCGCAACCCUUGUCCUUAGUUACCAGCACGUUAUGGUGGGCACUCUAAGGAGACUGCCGGUGACAAACCGGAGGAAGGUGGGGAUGACGUCAAGUCAUCAUGGCCCUUACGGCCUGGGCUACACACGUGCUACAAUGGUCGGUACAGAGGGUUGCCAAGCCGCGAGGUGGAGCUAAUCCCAUAAAACCGAUCGUAGUCCGGAUCGCAGUCUGCAACUCGACUGCGUGAAGUCGGAAUCGCUAGUAAUCGCGAAUCAGAAUGUCGCGGUGAAUACGUUCCCGGGCC